AACGAACGCUGGCGGCAGGCCUAACACAUGCAAGUCGAGCGCGUGCAGCAAUGCACGAGCGGCGCACGGGUGAGUAACGCGUGGGAAUCUGCCCUAUGGUGGGGGACAACCUCGGGAAACUGAGGCUAAUACCGCAUACGUCCUUCGGGAGAAAAACUUCGGUCGCCAUAGGAGGAGCCCGCGUCCGAUUAGCUAGUUGGUGAGGUAACGGCUCACCAAGGCGACGAUCGGUAGCUGGUCUGAGAGGACGGCCAGCCACACUGGGACUGAGACACGGCCCAGACUCCUACGGGAGGCAGCAGUGGGGAAUAUUGGACAAUGGGGGCAACCCUGAUCCAGCCAUGCCGCGUGAGUGAUGAAGGCCUUCGGGUUGUAAAGCUCUUUUGGCGGGGACGAUGAUGACGGUACCCGCAGAAUAAGCCCCGGCUAACUUCGUGCCAGCCGCCGCGGUAA
rnacentral:rRNA from 1 species